rnacentral:ncRNA from 2 species
GGUCAUGAGCGCCAGCUGUCAGCCCCGGCUAGCUGGCCGGCAACCCUCCAACCGCGGUGGGGUGCCCCGGGUGAUGACCGGGUUACUCGACUCCGCGCACCACGCGCGGGACGUCGAUGGCAAGCGCGGGUC